UACUCCAAGACAGCCUAUCAAUAGGGCAAACCCGUCUCUGUGGCAAAAGAGUGGGAAGAGCUUUGAGUAGAGGUGACAGACCUACCGAACCUAGUUAUAGCUGGUUGCCUGAGAAUUGGAUAGGAGUUCAGCCUCCAGGCUUCUCUCUAAGCCUAGAGAGUUAAUCAAAGGGGGUACAGCCCCUUUGAAACAAGACACAACUUUCCCAGGAGGGUAAAGAUCAUAAUUACUAAAGGUAAUAUGCCCUGGUGGGCCUAAAAGCAGCCACCCCCAUAGAAAGCGUUAAAGCUCAAGCAUUAUAUUUAGAUAACCAAAUCCCAGCCCCCUAACAUUAUCAGGCCGUCUCAUGCAAACAUGAGAGUGCACAUGCUAAUAUGAGUAAUAAGAGAGGUCUCUCUCCUCGCACACGUGUAACUCGGAACGAACCCCCACCGAAACUUAACGGCCCCAAACGAAGAGGGUAAUGAACAACAACCAGAAAAUCAUCCACCGUUAAUCCCACACUGGUGUGCCCCUGAGGAAAGACUAAAAGAAGAAGAAGGAACUCGGCAAACAAGCCUCGCCUGUUUACCAAAA
rnacentral:rRNA from 1 species